rnacentral:rRNA from 1 species
GACGAACGCUGGCGGCGUGCUUAACACAUGCAAGUCGAACGGUAAGGCCCCUUCGGGGGUACACGAGUGGCGAACGGGUGAGUAACACGUGAGCAACCUGCCCUUGACUCUGGAAUAACAGCUGGAAACAGCUGCUAAUACCGGAUAUGACCUCAGACGACAUCGUCUUGAGGUGGAAAGCUCCGGCGGUCAAGGAUGGGCUCGCGGCCUAUCAGCUAGUUGGUGAGGUAACGGCUCACCAAGGCUUCGACGGGUAGCCGGCCUGAGAGGGCGACCGGCCACACUGGGACUGAGAUACGGCCCAGACUCCUACGGGAGGCAGCAGUGGGGAAUAUUGCACAAUGGGCGAAAGCCUGAUGCAGCAACGCCGCGUGCGGGAUGACGGCCUUCGGGUUGUAAACCGCUUUCAGUUCCGACGAAGCGCAAGUGACGGUAGGAACAGAAGAAGGACCGGCCAACUACGUGCCAGCAGCCGCGGUGAUACGUAGGGUCCGAGCGUUGUCCGGAAUUAUUGGGCGUAAAGGGCUUGUAGGCGGUCUGUCACGUCGGAAGUGAAAACUCAGAGCUCAACUCUGAGCCUGCUUCCGAUACGGGCAGACUAGAGGGAUGCAGGGGAGAACGGAAUUCCUGGUGGAGCGGUGGAAUGCGCAGAUAUCAGGAGGAACACCGGUGGCGAAGGCGGUUCUCUGGGCAUUACCUGACGCUGAGAAGCGAAAGCGUGGGGGAGCAAACAGGCUUAGAUACCCUGGUAGUCCACGCCGUAAACGGUGGGCACUAGGUGUGGGGGACAUUCCACGUUCUCCGUGCCGAAGCUAACACAUUAAGUGCCCCGCCUGGGGAGUACGGCCGCAAGGCUAAAACUCAAAGGAAUUGACGGGGGCCCGCACAAGCGGCGGAGCAUGCGGAUUAAUUCGAUGCAACGCGAAGAACCUUACCUGGGUUUGACAUAUGCCGGAAAGCUGCAGAGAUGUAGCCCCCGCAAGGUCGGUAUACAGGUGGUGCAUGGCUGUCGUCAGCUCGUGUCGUGAGAUGUUGGGUUAAGUCCCGCAACGAGCGCAACCCUCGUCCUAUGUUGCCAGCGGAUAAUGCCGGGGACUCAUAGGAGACUGCCGGGGUCAACUCGGAGGAAGGUGGGGAUGACGUCAAGUCAUCAUGCCCCUUAAGUCCAGGGCUUCACGCAUGCUACAAUGGCUGGUACAAAGGGCUGCAAAACCGCAAGGUCAAGCGAAUCCCAAAAAGCCAGUCUCAGUUCGGAUUGGGGUCUGCAACUCGACCCCAUGAAGUCGGAGUCGCUAGUAAUCGCAGAUCAGCAACGCUGCGGUGAAUACGUUCCCGGGCCU